rnacentral:rRNA from 1 species
CGUGGAUUAUCUACCUACUGGUACGGGACAACAGUUGGAAACGACUGCUAAUACCGUAUACGCUGGUAACGGGAAAGGGGGCCUCUUCUUGAAAGCUCUCGCCAGUAGAUGAGUCCGCGUUUCAUUAGCUAGACGGUGGGGUAACGGCCUACCGUGGCAACGAUGAAUAGCAGGCCUGAGAGGGUGGCCUGCACACUGGGACUGGAACACGGCCCAGACUCCUACGGGAGGCAGCAGUGGGGAAUAUUGCGCAAUGGACGAAAGUCUGACGCAGCGACGCCGCGUGGAGGAUGAAGGUUUUCGGAUCGUAAACUCCUGUCAAGAGGGAAGAAACCUAUCGGAACUAAUACUUUCGGUAAUUGACGGUACCUCUAGAGGAAGCACCGGCUAAUUCAGUGCCAGCAGCCGCGGUAAUACCGAAGUGCAAGCGUUAAUCGGAAUCACUGGGCGUAAAGCGCUCGUAGGUGGCUUUGUAAGUCAGGUGUGAAAGCCCACGCUCAACCGUGAAUUGCACUUGAUACUGCAUCGCUAGAGUAUAGGAGAGGGAAGUGGAAUUUCUGGUGUAGGAGUGAAAUCCGUAGAGAUCAGAAGGAACACCCGUGGCGAAGGGACUUCCUGGACUAUUACUGACACUGAGGAGCGAAAGUGGGGAGCAAACAGGAUUAGAUACCCUGGUAGUCCACGCCGUAAACGAUGGGUACUAGGUGUCGGGGGCUUGACCUUCGGUGCCGUAGUUAACGCGUUAAGUACCCCGCCUGGGGAGUA